ACACGCACACACACACACACACACACACACACACACACACACACACACACACACACACACACACUGUACACUGUACGUUAGGCCCAUAUUGAAGUAUGUAGCACCAGUUUGGAACCCACAUCUAGCCAAGUACGUGAAGAAACUAGAGAAAAUGCAAAGGUUUACAACAAGACUAGUCCCAGAACUAAAGGGUAUGUCCUAUGAGGAGAGGUUAAGGAAAGUCGACCUGAUGACACUGGAGGACAGGAGAGAUGGGGGGACAUGAUAACGACAUAUAAAAUACUGAGAGGAAUUGAUAAGGUGGACAGAGAUGGAAUGUUCCAGAGAUGGGGUACAGCAACAAGGGGACACAGUUGAAAGUUGAAGACACAGAUGAAUCACAGGGAUGUUAGGAAGUAUUUCUUCAGUCACAGAGUAGUCAGAAAGUGGAAUAGUUUGGGAAGUGAUGUAGUGGAAGCAGGAUCCAUUCAUAGCUUUAAGCAGAGGUAUGAUAAAGCUAAUGGUGCAGGGAGAGUGAUCCAGUUGUGGCCAGUGAAGAGGCAGGGCCAGGAGCUAUGACUCAACCCCUGCAGCCACAACUAGGCGAGUGCACACACACACACAAAAUAUAGGUGAGUACAUAAACACACACAUACAAUUGUAAUGAAAUUCAGAUUGGGCCUCUUCACACAGCUUCAAGUUACCUGUUUCCAAUGCAACUUCUGUUAUUCUCUCAAGAUUGUCAUUUCUUCUUGCUAUCAUUGUAUGGCUCUCCUAUGCUAUCUGGGUUUUCCAAAUUGUUAACUUCCAUAGCCUCUUCGAUUGUUGCAUGUCAUAAAAAUUGAGUUUGAUCCAAAGAAAGGGAGGACAAGUCCAAGCCCUUAAAUUAAGAACCCCUCAUCACCAUUAACCCUUAAACUGUCCAAACAUAGAUCUAUAUUCACUUGUGUAGCGCUCCAAAUGUAGAUCUACGUUUUAUUUUACAUGCUUUCAAAUGUAAGAAAAAAAACUAGAUCUACAUUCGGAGUGCUACACAAAUGAACGUAGAUCUACUUAAGGUAGAUCUACGUUCAUUUGUUAAGAGACCUCCCUUGAGGAAUAAUGUCAUAGAAGAUUGAUUUCAUUUAAUAUUCUGUUUAAUUUUCCUAUAGGAGGAGGGAUAUGGGGCUGUUAGACUGGCCUUCCUUCAUCUUCAUUUGGUUUCAGUUGUGCCCAAACUAGACAAUAGGAAGCAAGAAUAAUCCUCUGCUUCCACAGCUACCCUUUCAUUCAUCAUCAGUGAUUACAUUUGUAUCUGGAGGCCUUUCAGUUUUCCUUGGCCCAAAGCUCGUGUGCGAGGAUUGUCACCUUAAAAUCACAACCCUCUGUGGAUCAUUUAACUUGUAUGAAAAGUUUAACAUCCCCUCAUUGUGAUAUUAUGAUCACUGUCUCUGUUAUCAUAUUUCCAUGGCCUUCAUGGUCCAGUGUACUGGAAAGAUCAAGUAUGAACGGAAACAAAACCAGUACAGUGGACCCCCGCAUAACGAUCACCUCCGAAUGCGACCAAUUAUUAUAAUCAGUGAUCGGCAUGGAAGAGUGUCCUCGAAGAUUACAAAUAAAAUGAAUGUGGGAAACUUCAGCACGUAAACUUGUGACCGGUGACACGAGAUACAGCUAGGAAAUUGAAAGAUAAGUGUUUAUUAUAUUGUAUCAAAUUUUGUAGAUCAGUGUAGUGGCACUUUGUAGGUUGUAGUUAGAAUUGAGUGGUUGUAAAUAUAAACAGAUCUUAAUCAGAUUUUACUUUAAGGUCAUUUGUACUUGCUUUGAAAAUACAUUUAGUUCAGGACUGCCUAUGCUUUUUUAAUAGGAAAGCAAGUGUGGUAGAAUUGUGUUAAUGCUCAAGUGGUUAGACACAGUGCUGCACAUGGUAACUCAAGAUGCACUCACCAUUAACAAUGAAACAGUGUUAACAGUGAUGGUGCUCUUUAAUGGAUUGCUAUGAAAACUCUUGAGAAAACUAGUUAUAAAAGAGUCAAAGCAAAAAAGUGAAAACUCUGGGUAGAGAUGGUUAAAUACAUUAUGUGUAAUAUUGGUAUGAUGGUGAACAAGUGUUACUAUCAUUAAUCUAAUGAGGCUCUUUACCAAUGUUACUAAAUGCCCCUAGUUGGAACCAUUGUUUUGGGUGGAAAUAAAUUUUUCUUGUUAUUCCUUCAUGUAGUACUGCAUCAUUGCAAGCCUCAAUUCAAUUUAUUGUGGAUGAAGUCUUUUAAUGUAGCACUCUCCACAUAAAUUAUUUUAUAUUUUCAAAUGCAAACAUCAAAAGGUAUUGUUAUGAACAAGAAGACAAAAAAAAGAUGGAGGAGAUUUGACAGCUGUGUUAUAUGUAUGUAUCAAUAGUAAGUGUAAUAGUUGAGGUCAUAUAUAAAUAUAUACAAGUACAGUACAGACCUUCAAAUCCAGGACCAUUGGGACACAUAUCAAGUCAUUUUUCAGGACUUAACAAGUUUUGACAGACUAAAUAAAAUUAGGUAUUCUAUCCAUGGUCAGAUUUCCUGAAUAACCUGUGUGUGUGAUAGUAAAAAUUGGUAUUAAGGUUAUUACAAAUGUGCUAUGGGACUUACGUGAGUUGCCUAUAAGUUUCAGUUGUAGGGCUAAUAUGGUUCCCUGACUGCUGCACCCUUCAACUGAGCACUAACCAGUCUUACACCAUUGUUAAUACAUCAUAGUGUAGGUUAAGACACUGAAAUCAAAUGUGUGAGGAACAAGGCGCCAACUUCACAGAAAUUAGCACCGUUUUAUCAGUGUUGUUUAUGUUUGUGUCAAUCCUGUUUUUUUAGUUGACAUUAUUAUAUCUGAAAUACAAAUAUUUAUCCCAUCUCUCUUCCCUUUCUCUGUCUUCAAAUACAGUUUUCUUGCACAUUUACAUCUAUUUCUGAAUUAUCUAUGCAGAGCUGCAAGUAGGUGGCACAGUUAACCACAUUUAAUUAAUUAUUAUUAUAAUCAAAAGAAGCACUAAACUGCAAGGGUACUUUUAAUGAAAUUACAUAUAUGUGAUGGUAACUUCUGGCAGGAUGCUACCCUCAGUUGAGAACCAUACUCAUUAUACCCUGUGGGAGGAUGGGCUUGCACUGUACUGUCAUUUUGUCCUUAUGCUGUACAUAUUGGGCAUGCUGUUUCCAGUUAAUCAAGAAAUGACAGAAUACGCCCUGCUGCCUGAAUUUACUUUAAUAUUUAUGUAAUUUAGUCAUCAUUGGCUAUAUACGUAUAAAGAUAAUUUACAUUAAAUUAAAGUAACCUAACCUACAACUAUUUAUUUUUGUAGGCUCCUUAGAUGGUUCAGAAAUUGACAUGCAAUUGACACACCUUUGGUAUGUUUUGAGGAUGGGUUGGUACUGCAUAGGGUGGAAACUAGAUUCCUUUAAAUGAUAAAUAUGAGUCUUGAACAAUAUGCAACUCAGGCAAGUACAGUUAGGUACCAUGUCUUGAGAUUAGCAAAUGGAGGAUUGAGCCUUCAGUCAUUCCUUGUCAUUAUGCUAAAUAAAACACACAAAAUAUGAUAAUAACUACUGGUGAUAAAAUGAAAAAUAUUUAAUUUUUUUAAAUAGGAUAUUGAAUACAUGAAAAAAUAGUUUGAGAAUUUCUUUUGGAUUUGAAUGUUUGUACCUGCAUGUAUGUUCAGUAUGUACAUAAAUAAAUAAGCCACAAGGAAGUAGACAUUUUCUUUAAGUCAAUUUUGAAACAUUUUUAAAUUUUUAUUUAGUAUAAUGCUGAAAAAAUUUCUUUCAGUUGAUAAGUAUUGUCCGUCAGCAGUGACUUUAGCUUUACAAACACAUCCUUCCUUGUGGCUUUAUCCCAUACUUGCCAUAGAAUCCAGGGUGUCAGGAAUUGUAGUAUGCUCCUAGUCUGUGUGUAACCUGUUCAGAUGGCCUCAAGGACCACCAGACUCAAGUGCAAAAACUGAGGCAAACCUGUUAAAAAUGAACAGGUAAUGCAAGUGAUUUGGAAAGGAUAUAUUAUUAAUAAAGGAAACAGAGGUUAGAUUAGUUCACAAAUAAUAACUGAAUAAGGAUGACAUUUCUCAUUGAACAAUGACAAAUGUUCAAAUUUAGUCCAUGUAAGAUAUGAUGUAGGUUUUCAUUUCAAGAAACCUUACAAUGUACAGUAUUGUCAGGUUAAAUUUUAUAAUAUCAUCAGGGUUGCCAGGUCACCAUCUGGAGAAGACCCAGGCCGGAAGUACCGGCGAAUCAACAUGAAUGAAUGAAUCAUCAGGGUGUAAAGUAUGAAACACUCUUAACAGUGCAGAGGGUAAAAAAAAAAAAAAAAAAAAAAGGCUGCAAUAAAGAGGUCUUGUUCAUAAAAUAUGUUUCAUAAUCACAAGACUAUACAUUAUGAAAUAUUUAUGAUAACACAUUUCUUUGUAUUUAAGUGUAUUAUUGUACUUUACUAUAGGAAAAUUUGGCCUAAAAAUAUGAAGUCAUUUUGUCAUCUCUUAUAUUUGGCAUAGAUAAGGUAGAUGUGCAUAGAGCUGGCUUCAGAAGUUGGUUUUAUUUUACAUUAUGGCCCCAAGGUUCAAACUUGCAUUGUAACAAAGUUUUAGGUUAGGGAAUUGCUUGCUGCAAAUAUUUUUUUAUACAUGGAACAAAGUAUGUGAUGAGCCACAACUGAUGACACAAGCCCCUUUUUAUCCAACACACACUGUCACCCAGGUGACAUGGUCCAUAGACUGUGACACCUCUGUCAUUUCCAACUAAAAUUCAAAAUGAUGUGAAUAAAACAUUUAGGAGUAAAGAGGGAAUUAAAAGCAUGACUAGUAGUGCCACAGUUGCCAGCUGCACCAUGAAUAGGUUCAAGUGUUAGAAUUGGAAAUCUCACUGUUCUUACUAGUUUAUGGUGGAUCCCAAAUAGUAUUGCACACCUCAUCAUAAUCCAUCAUCUCUCACUAAGUGCAUAAAUGUAUCUCCACCCAUUACCCCAAUGUAGUGACAUGGUCCAUAGUCCCCUUCAUCCAUUAUUCAGGUUCAUAGUCUCUGCCUAUCACUUAGGUGCAUAGUGUAGUCCAAUCCCCAACACCCAUAACUCAGGUGCUUAGCAGCAUGGUUUAUAAUCCCUUCCAUCACCCAGGUGCAUAGUAAUGUAGUCCAUAGCCACCCACCCAUUACCCCAAGUGCAUUAGGACAUAGUCCCCUCCAUGCAGAUACAUAGUAAUGUAAUCACAGUCCCCUGGUGCAAUUGGUAGCAUGUAUAAAUGAAAGACUACUGGUCACACAUUUGAUUCCAGCAUUGUGAAUUUUAGUUUGUAAAUUAUGAUUUCCCAGGGUGAUGGAAUAUUCAUGAUUAUAUACUGACUUUAAUAACAUGUUGCAAAAUAAAAAAAAAGAA